GAUGAAGAACGCAGCGAAAUGCGAUAAGUAAUGUGAAUUGCAGAAUUCAGUGAAUCAUCGAAUCUUUGAACGCACAUUGCGCCCGCCAGUAUUCUGGCGAGCAUGCCUGUUCGAGCGUCAUUUCAACCAUCAAGCCCCAGGCUUGUGUUGGAGCCCUGCGGCUGCCGCAGCCUCCCAAAACCAGUGGCGGGCUCGCUAUCACACCGAGUGCAGUAGUUUACUCUUCGCUCAGGGCGUGUGGCGGGUGCUAGCCGUGAAACCCCCAACUUCUCAAGGUUGACCUCGGAUCAGGUAGGAAUACCCGCUGAACUUAAGCAUAUCAAUAGCGGAGA
rnacentral:misc_RNA from 1 species